ensembl:snRNA U6 U6 spliceosomal RNA
GUGCUUGCUUUGGCAGCACAUAUACAAAAAAUUGUAACAAUACAGAGAAGAUUAGCAUGCCCCCUGCACAAAUUGUAUAGUUUUCUGAAAAUAUGUCUUGCUAU